rnacentral:rRNA from 1 species
GUCGGACGGGAUUGAGGAGCUUGCUUCUCAUGAGAGUGGCGCACGGGUGCGUAACACGUAUAUAACCUACCUUGUUCAGGGGGAUAGCCUCUCGAAAGAGAGAUUAACACCGCAUAAAAUCAAUUUAUGGCAUCAUAGAAUGAUCAAAUAUUUAUAGGAACAAGAUGGGCAUGCGGAACAUUAGCUAGUUGGUAAGGUAACGGCUUACCAAGGCUACGAUGUUUAGGGGAUCUGAGAGGAUGACCCCCCACACUGGUACUGAGACACGGACCAGACUCCUACGGGAGGCAGCAGUAAGGAAUAUUGGUCAAUGGACGCAAGUCUGAACCAGCCAUGCCGCGUGCAGGAAGACGGCCCUACGGGUUGUAAACUGCUUUUGUACCGGAAUAAACCUUUUCACGUGUGAGAAGCUGAAUGUACGGUAAGAAUAAGGAUCGGCUAACUCCGUGCCAGCAGCCGCGGUAAUACGGAGGAUCCAAGCGUUAUCCGGAUUUAUUGGGUUUAAAGGGUGCGUAGGUGGCCUAUUAAGUCAGGGGUGAAAGACGGUAGCUUAACUAUCGCAGUGCCUUUGAUACUGAUGGGCUUGAAUACACUUGAGGUAGGCGGAAUGUGACAAGUAGCGGUGAAAUGCAUAGAUAUGUCACAGAACACCAAUUGCGAAGGCAGCUUACUAAAGUGUUAUUGACACUGAGGCACGAAAGCGUGGGGAUCAAACAGGAUUAGAUACCCUGGUAGUCCACGCCCUAAACGAUGAAUACUCGAUGUUGGCGAUAUACGGUCAGCGUCUAAGCGAAAGCGUUAAGUAUUCCACCUGGGGAGUACGCCCGCAAGGGUGAAACUCAAAGGAAUUGACGGGGGCCCGCACAAGCGGA